rnacentral:rRNA from 1 species
CGGGUGCACUGAUCCGGCCGGGCCUUUCCCUCUGUGGAACCCCAUGGCCUUCACUGGCUGUGCGGGGGAAACAGGACUUUUACUGUGAAAAAAUUAGAGUGCUCCAGGCAGGCCUAUGCUCGAAUACAUUAGCAUGGAAUAAUAGAAUAGGACGCGUGGUUCUAUUUUGUUGGUUUCUAGGACCGCCGUAAUGAUUAAUAGGGACAGUCGGGGGCAUCAGUAUUCAAUUGUCAGAGGUGAAAUUCUUGGAUCUAUUGAAGACUAACUACUGCGAAAGCAUUUGCCAAGGAUGUUUUCAUUGAUAAGGAACGAAAGUUAGGGGAUCGAAGACGAUCAGAUACCGUCGUAGUCUUAACUAUAAACUAUGCCGACUAGGGAUCGGACGAUGUUAUUUCUUGACGCGUUCGGCACCUUUCGAGAAAUCAAAGUGCUUGGGCUCCAGGGGGAGUAUGGUCGCAAGGCUGAAACUUAAAGAAAUUGACGGAAGGGCACCACCAGGGGUGGAACCUGCGGCUUAAUUUGACUCAACACGGGGAAACUCACCAGGUCCAGACACAGUGAGGAUUGACAGAUUGAGAGCUCUUUCUUGAUUCUGUGGGUGGUGGUGCAUGGCCGUUCUUAGUUGGUGGAGUGAUUUGUCUGCUUAAUUGCGAUAACGAACGAGGCCUUAACCUGCUAAAUAGCCCGUACUGCUCUGGCAGUUCGCCGGCUUCUUAGAGGGACUAUCGG